CACGUAGUUAGCCGUGGCUUUCUGGUUAGGUACCGUCAAGGUACAAGCAGUUACUCUUGUACUUGUUCUUCCCUAACAACAGAGUUUUACGACCCGAAAGCCUUCAUCACUCACGCGGCGUUGCUCCGUCAGACUUUCGUCCAUUGCGGAAGAUUCCCUACUGCUGCCUCCCGUAGGAGUCUGGGCCGUGUCUCAGUCCCAGUGUGGCCGAUCACCCUCUCAGGUCGGCUAUGCAUCGUUGCCUUGGUGAGCCGUUACCUCACCAACUAGCUAAUGCACCGCGGGCCCAUCUGUAAGUGAUAGCCGAAACCAUCUUUCAAUCAUCUCCCAUGAAGGAGAAGAUCCUAUCCGGUAUUAGCUUCGGUUUCCCGAAGUUAUCCCAGUCUUACAGGCAGGUUGCCCACGUGUUACUCACCCGUCCGCCGCUAACGUCAUAGAAGCAAGCUUCUAAUCAGUUCGCUCGACUUGCAUGUAUUAGGCACGCCGCCAGCGUUCA
rnacentral:rRNA from 1 species